GUAAUUAUUUAGCUUUAAGUAGUUGUGUAAUGGGCGGCUCGGUGGCGCACUGGGUAGCACGUCCGCCUCACAGUUAGGAGGGUGCGGGUUCGAUUCCACCUCCGGCCCUCCCUGUGUGGAGUUUGCAUGUUCUCCCCGUGUCCGCGUGGGUUUUCUCCGGGCACUCCGGUUUCCUCCCACAUCCCCAAAAAACAUGCUUGGUAGGCCGAUUGAGCGGUCCAAAUUGCCCCUAGGUGUGAGUGUGUGUGCGGAUGGUUGUUCGUCUCUGUGUGCCCUGCGAUUGGCUGGCAACCAGUUCAGGGUGUCCCCCGCCUACUGCCCGAUGACAGCUGGGAUAGGCUCCGGCAAGCCCGCGACCCCCGUGGGGAUAAAGCGGUACAGAAAAUGGAUGGAUGGAU